AGAGUUUGAUCCUGGCUCAGGACGAACGCUGGCGGCGUGCCUAAUACAUGCAAGUAGAACGCUGAAGAGAGGAGCUUGCUCUUCUUGGAUGAGUUGCGAACGGGUGAGUAACGCGUAGGUAACCUGCCUUGUAGCGGGGGAUAACUAUUGGAAACGAUAGCUAAUACCGCAUAACAAUGGAUGACACAUGUCAUUUAUUUGAAAGGGGCAAUUGCUCCACUACAAGAUGGACCUGCGUUGUAUUAGCUAGUAGGUGAGGUAACGGCUCACCUAGGCGACGAUACAUAGCCGACCUGAGAGGGUGAUCGGCCACACUGGGACUGAGACACGGCCCAGACUCCUACGGGAGGCAGCAGUAGGGAAUCUUCGGCAAUGGGGGCAACCCUGACGCAGCAACGCCGCGUGAGUGAAGAAGGUUUUCGGAUCGUAAAGCUCUGUUGUAAGUCAAGAACGAGUGUGAGAGUGGAAAGUUCACACUGUGACGGUAGCUUACCAGAAAGGGACGGCUAACUACGUGCCAGCAGCCGCGGUAAUACGUAGGUCCCGAGCGUUGUCCGGAUUUAUUGGGCGUAAAGCGAGCGCAGGCGGUUUGAUAAGUCUGAAGUUAAAGGCUGUGGCUCAACCAUAGUUCGCUUUGGAAACUGUCAAACUUGAGUGCAGAAGGGGAGAGUGGAAUUCCAUGUGUAGCGGUGAAAUGCGUAGAUAUAUGGAGGAACACCGGUGGCGAAAGCGGCUCUCUGGUCUGUAACUGACGCUGAGGCUCGAAAGCGUGGGGAGCGAACAGGAUUAGAUACCCUGGUAGUCCACGCCGUAAACGAUGAGUGCUAGGUGUUGGAUCCUUUCCGGGAUUCAGUGCCGCAGCUAACGCAUUAAGCACUCCGCCUGGGGAGUACGACCGCAAGGUUGAAACUCAAAGGAAU
rnacentral:rRNA from 1 species